CUGUGAUUCAGUAAAUUGAUUAUUUGAUGAAUUGAUUUUAUGACAUUGACAUAUAGCCAACCGGAUAAUUUCUUUUAUUUGGAAAGACCACUAAAUUCACCAUUAUAUGUCCAAAGUCUACUGCAGUGCCUGGUGCAGUAGGUACUCAGGAAAUGGAUGGAUGGAUGGAUAAAUUGUUCUGGCUGAGGGCAUUACAAGAAGAAACAAGACUGCCAGACUUCAUGGCUUCGUGGAGCCCAUAUUCUAGUGUAGUGAUUGUCAAACAGACUUGAGAGAAAGAAGCAAGCAGAGCAGAAGGAAGAGCCUGGCAGCCCACUCGACCCCGUGAAUCAGGAAGGAAGUGCUCAGGCAAAGAUCACCCCAGGAAGCCACAGCAGGCUGAAGGCCUUUUUCUUUUCUUUUUUUCUUCUGCCUCUUCAAUUCACCUCCUUGUGGAUGAUCAGAAAUAAAAGGAAAUGAGGUGGAGGUGAGUCCAUCUAAGCCAAAGUGGACAGAAGGCAGGCAGGGUAUGGGAGGUGAGAGCUGGC
rnacentral:lncRNA from 1 species